CUAGGGAUGGAGGCCUAUUUGAAUAAAUAUACAUAAAACACAAAUGGGGAUCAAUUUUAAUCCUAUUUGAACAAAUAUACAAACAACAAUAGUGAGGAUCAAUCUUAAUGCAAGCAAACAGAAGAAAUUUGCGCUUCUGGGUAUGUUAAGUGACAACUUGAAGACUGCUUAUUCAAUUCGACCACGUUUAGCAUCUGCUGAUGCUACUUCCAAGUCCCCAAUGAAGAAAAGUAUUUUGUCCAGUAUACCUCGACAGCAGGAUUCCUCAACUUUCGUGAAUUGAUCUCCUGUAAGCUCUGCUUUUGAAUUUUGAGAACUGGUUGCCCUUUUACUUUUUCUCCUCGAACCCAAAUACCGUUGGAUUUCUCCUUGGUGAACAAGAUAGUAUUCACCACCUUCUCUGAUUAUCUUCAGCCCCAAUCCAAUUCGAUCACAACGAUCUUGCACCUCAUACGCAUGUUUCCAUAAUUUUGAGUCAACAGGGGCAUAGAAAGCAGCACGAUCUCCUCCCCAUCUAUCCUGGAAGAGAUUAGACCACAGAACAUUAUCUGAGGCCAACACCUUCCAUUUUUUGCAAACUUGUUGAGCAGUUGCAAGAUUCUGAUGAUCCAACCAACAGAAGAUCUUGAGACAGAGAUCUGCAGGCAAACUCUCCAUUACCACUGAAAAUUGAAAACACAAAAUUAAAGAAUUAAACGAUCAGUAGUAGUAGAGAUGCAGAUCUUCUAAGAAGACCGAAGAAGAAGAGCAGAAGCCUUCUCU
rnacentral:misc_RNA from 1 species